rnacentral:rRNA from 1 species
UACAGGGGGGGCAAGCGUUGUUCGGAAUUACUGGGCGUAAAGGGCUCGUAGGCGGCCAACUAAGUCACACGUGAAAUCCCCAGGCUUAACCUGGGAACUGCGUCCGAUACUGGAUGGCUUGAAUCCGGGAGAGGGAUGCAGAAUUCCAGGUGUAGCGGUGAAAUGCGUAGAUAUCUGGAGGAAUACCGGUGGCGAAGGCGGCAUCCUGGACCGGCAUUGACGCUGAGGAGCGAAAGCCAGGGGAGCAAACGGG